CGCUAGAUGUGGGGACCAUUCCACGGUUUCCGUGUCGCAGCUAACGCAUUAAGCGCCCCGCCUGGGGAGUACGGCCGCAAGGCUAAAACUCAAAGGAAUUGACGGGGGCCCGCACAAGCGGCGGAGCAUGCGGAUUAAUUCGAUGCAACGCGAAGAACCUUACCAAGGCUUGACAUAUACCUGAAAAGGCUGGAAACAGUCUCCCCGCAAGGCAGGUAUACAGGUGGUGCAUGGUUGUCGUCAGCUCGUGUCGUGAGAUGUUGGGUUAAGUCCCGCAACGAGCGCAACCCUCGUUCUAUGUUGCCAGCACGUAAUGGUGGGAACUCAUAGGAGACUGCCGGGGUCAACUCGGAGGAAGGUGGGGAUGACGUCAAAUCAUCAUGCCCCUUAUGUCUUGGGCUUCACGCAUGCUACAAUGGCCGGUACAAAGGGCUGCAAUACCGUAAGGUGGAGCGAAUCCCAAAAAGCCGGUCUCAGUUCGGAUUGAGGUCUGCAACUCGACCUCAUGAAGUCGGAGUCGCUAGUAAUCGCAGAUCAGCAACGCUGCGGUGAAUACGUUCCCGGGCCUUGUACACACCGCCCGUCAAGUCAUGAAAGUCGGUAACACCCGAAGCCAGUGGCCCAACCGCAAGGAGGGAGCUGUCGAAGGUGGGAUCGGUGAUUAGGACU
rnacentral:rRNA from 1 species